rnacentral:rRNA from 1 species
AGAGUUUGAUCCUGGCUCAGGACAAACGCUGGCGGCGUGCCUAACACAUGCAAGUCGCACGUCCUCUCGCAAGAGAGGGAGUGGCGGACGGGUGAGGAACACGUGGGGAACCUGCCCUGGGGUGAGGGAUACCGGCUCGAAAGAGCCGACAAUCCCGCAUGCGUCUGCUGUUGGAAGAGACAGCAGGCAAAGCCGAAAGG